ACGGAAAUGAAGAAAUACCAUCCUUGCUCUGCGAGUCGUAGAACAUUCAUUUGAGAACACUGGUGAGGUACUGUAGCAUCGGGUUACUGUAGACGAGUCAGUGAAUUCUCAGGUGGUUCUACGCCGGUGAACAGCUAUGGCCUCUGAUCCGA
rnacentral:snoRNA from 1 species